UACGUAGGGGGCUAGCGUUGUCCGGAAUCAUUGGGCGUAAAGCGCGCGUAGGCGGCCCGGUAAGUCCGCUGUGAAAGUCCAGGGCUCAACCCUGGGAUGCCGGUGGAUACUGUCGAGCUCGAGUCCGGAAGAGGCGAGUGGAAUUCCUGGUGUAGCGGUGAAAUGCGCAGAUAUCAGGAGGAACACCAAUGGCGAAGGCAGCUCGCUGGGACGUGACUGACGCUGAGACGCGAAAGCGUGGGGAGCAAACAGG
rnacentral:rRNA from 1 species